UACGGAGGGGGCUAGCGUUGUUCGGAAUUACUGGGCGUAAAGGGCUCGUAGGCGGCCAACUAAGUCAGACGUGAAAUCCCUCAGCUUAACUGGGGAACUGCGUCUGAUACUGGAUGGCUUGGAUUCGGGAGAGGAAUGCGGAAUUCCAGGUGUAGCGGUGAAAUGCGUAGAUAUCUGGAGGAACACCGGUGGCGAAGGCGGCAUUCUGGACCGAUAUUGACGCUGAGGAGCGAAAGCCAGGGGAGCAAACGGG
rnacentral:rRNA from 1 species